rnacentral:rRNA from 1 species
AACGAACGUUGGCGGCGUGGAUUAGGCAUGCAAGUCGAACGAGAACCGGUAGCAAUACUGGGGAAAGUGGCGAAAGGGGCAGUAAUGCGUGGGUAACGUACCCUUGGGAUCGGGAUAGCCACGGGAAACUGUGGGUAAUACCGGGCGAUGUGGCGUGGAGGCAUCUCCGUGCUACCAAAUGAAUUUCGCCCAGGGAGCGGCUCACGUCGUAUUAGCUAGUUGGUGGGGUAACGGCUCACCAAGGCUCAGAUGCGUAGCGGGUGUGAGAGCACGACCCGCGCCACUGGCACUGAGACACUGGCCAGACACCUACGGGUGGCUGCAGUCGAGGAUCUUCGGCAAUGGGCGCAAGCCUGACCGAGCGACGCCGCGUGUGCGACGAAGGCCUUCGGGUUGUAAAGCACUGUCGAGGGGGAGGAAAGCCGCAAGGCCUGACCUAUCCCUGGAGGAAGCACGGGCUAAGUUCGUGCCAGCAGCCGCAGUAACAC